AUGCAGUUGAGGCUGAGCUGGCUUUUCCUUGUUGCUAUUUUUAAAGGUGUCCAGUGUGAGGUACAGCUGGUGGAGUCUGCGGGAGGCUUGGUGCAGCCUGGAGGGGCUCUGAAACUCUCCUGUGCAGCCUCUGGAUUCACAGUCAGUAGCUACUGGAUGAACUGGGUCCACCAAGUUCCAGGAAAGGGGCUGGAGUGGGUUUCAACAAUUAGUGGUGGUAGCACAUACUACCCAGACUCUGUGAAAGGCCGAUUCACGAUCUCCAGAGACAAUAACAAGAACCAGCUGUAUCUGCAAAUUAACAGCCUGAGAGCUGAGGACACAGCUGUGUAUUAUUGUGCAAGAGACGCAGUGAGGAGACUUCAGCGUGUCCUUUCCCAGGUGCAGCUGCAGGAGUCAGGACCUGGCCUGGUUACGCCCUCACAGACCCUGUCUCUCACCUGUGCUGUGUCCGGAUUCUCCAGCACUGCCAGGCCAGUCCUUACUGCUGAGACUGUAUCUGUCACCUCCCAGGGAAGGGCCUAG